AACAAAGGGUUAAAAAAAGAUCAAAUUACCACGUAAACCAUUAAAUUUUGUAACAUGUUCUUUAGAUAUGCUUUUAAUCUUACGUAAAAGUAAAGAUUAUUAAAGAAUAUAAUGAACAGUGAGCACUACAGAGAGAGAGAGAGAUGUGUGGUUCUUAUUGGAGCUUAUAAGACAAACUGGAGGGCGUAUCAUUUGUUCUUGCGGGUUUUCAAAAGAGCACUAGUGGGUUUUCAAUAGCUCUCUGAGUUCGAAGUCUCCCUCCUCUUGAGUCCCUGUAAAACAUUUCUUUGUAUCAUAUCCUAAUUGAUUCGAGAGAGAGAGAGAGAGAGAGAGAGAGAGAGAGAGGAGAGGAGAGGAUAGGAGAGAGAAGGUCUGGCAGGGAGAAGGAGCAUAUCAGCAGCAAUUAGAGGGAGUAGCGGGAAAAGGAAAGGAAGAAAGAAGGUAAAAGUGAUAAAAGCAAGGUUGAUGGAGUUUUGGGGCAAGAUGAUCUUCCCUGUCCGCCGUCUCUGGCUUGCCGUCUCUACCCGCGUCAAGGAUCGCAAAAAUGGUGGUGGGCUUCUGAAGCUUCACGAUGAUGUGCAAACGUGUGGGUAUCAAGAUGUGCAAGUGAUGUGGCAGAUGCUGAGUAGAGAAACAACAGACAACCAUCCGCCCUCGGCCAAACGCAAACACCAAAGACCCUUCUGGAGAAUUUUCGAGUGGUCUUCUAGCAAUACUAGUAGUAAAAAGUCAGCUUUGUGAUCUGAACACGAAGAAUUUUGAGUAGAAGUUUCUUCUCAUCCUUAAAUAGUCAAGCAUGAACAACAUUUGCAGUUGCA